rnacentral:lncRNA from 1 species
UAAGUAACCUUUUUGGUUGAAGAAAAAGCUAGGAAGUGCUAUCUUUGAAGGAUUGGAAUUGGAGAUUCUUUAAUAUUGAAGGCAUAAGUUUGGAUUUCUAAACUGCUUUAAUUACAUAAAUGUCAAAGUUAUGUAUCUUUAUGAUCUAUGGUCAACCACAAUAUAUACAUACAAGUCUGUAUUCGCGAGAAAAUGUUCUUGAGUAUUAGUGUAUUUUUGCAAGUACUAUUCACGUUCAUUUUGAAAUUAUAUAGCAAUCUCAUAGAAUUUGGCAGGUACAUUUGAAGUCGAUGCAUGAAUGAAAUAUGAAAAUUAUUACAAUAGGGAGAAAUUUCAACAAAUUACUGAUGCAGCAUGUACGGUUGAAUAAAUAUUAUUAAGCAUUUUUCAAGUUUCAACUAUAUAUACAAACAUUCAAUUCAAUACGUCCAUAAGAAAAUUUAAGAUGUUUUUUGAUAGGCACUAUCAAACUAUGUUUUUUGAUAGGCACUAUCAAACUUGUGACUUUAUUUGCUACUUUAGCAAUAUCAUUGUUUUGUUUUUGAUCGUGAGGUUUAUUAGUGUGCUCUGUUUUUAUAGGAAGAGAAAUGACUAUUAAGGUAAAGCCAGCAAUUGCCCUGAGGGCCAUCCUUGUUGGAGGAAUUGCUGCAUUUUCCAAAAUCGGUGGUGCUGUUAAAGAUGUAGGAGGUGUAAAAGCCGGCACAGCUACUGCUGCUAUGAGUGCUGCAGCAACUGCUGCCUUUUCAGGAUCCAGGCAAGAAGCGAAAACAGCUUCUCAGCAGUCAUCAAAAUGAUGAUCUAUAUGAAGAUCAGUGUAGAGAUAGUGAUCCCCAUUUCAGCUUGUGAUCUUUUUCCUUCACUAUAAUGUACUAUAUUUUAGGACAAACUAUAAGCUAUAGGUUAGUGGGGUUGCUAAUUGGAUGGUUUCUUUAAUUGAUCAAGUAGGUUAUGUAAUUGAGGCCUGGUUGCUGGUUCUGUACAAAUGGAUGUAGGAAAUUGUUGAAGUGAAGAGCUUUUUGUUAUCACUUUGCACAUAGUAUCCUGGGAAUUUAGAUCUGGUUUAUAAAUAAAGAGUACUUGUGGCUUUAUUGUUG